AUACGGAGGAUCCGAGCGUUAUCCGGAUUUAUUGGGUUUAAAGGGAGCGUAGGUGGGAUAUUAAGUCAGCUGUGAAAGUUUGGGGCUCAACCUUAAAAUUGCAGUUGAUACUGGUUUCCUUGAGUACGGUACAGGUGGGCGGAAUUCGUGGUGUAGCGGUGAAAUGCUUAGAUAUCACGAAGAACUCCGAUCGCGAAGGCAGCUCACCGGGCCGGAACUGACACUGAUGCUCGAAAGUGCGGGUAUCAAACAGGAUUAGAUACCCUGGUAGUCCGCACAGUAAACGAUGAAUACUCGCUGUUUGCGAUACACUGUAAGCGGCCAAGCGAAAGCGUUAAGUAUUCCACCUGGGGAGUACGCCGGCAACGGUGAAACUCAAAGGAAUUGACGGG
rnacentral:rRNA from 1 species